rnacentral:lncRNA from 1 species
UGAGUUUUUGAGUGCAGGAUAUGACCAAGAUGAGGUCGCCUCUACCGUCGACAAGGUCUUGCCCUUUGAUGAUCCGGCUAGGGUCGGGCUUCAUGCGGGAGAGACCAAUGAGAUGCUGCGCCGGUGGUUCACCGGAGAACGGCGCCGGCGGCGAUCCGGCCUUGGAAGGGCCCCUUGCCUAAGGUACGUCUACCGAACUUAACUAUUUUUGAUCUGCUUCGGCCGGAAUCAUGGACUACGGCGACAAGGAGAAAGAAUGCUCGCCGGGCAGGGCCUCGAUCGGCGCUGGAGGUGACUGCGGCAGCGCCGCCGGCGGUCACGGCGAUCCGGAUCAGGGCGGCUCGUCAGGAGCGUUUGAAUUCGCUCCUGGGCCGAGACGAGUUGUGCAAUGUUGUUGGGCCGGUGAGUAUCAGUGGGCCGGGGUCCAUUGGGUAUCAGGCCCAGCAGGAACCGGUACUGCUCGAUAACGAGGGAGUCGAGGCAUGCGCGCGUUCAGAUCGAUGUUGCCGUCUCUCUCACCGCGCCCUAGGGUUUUUGUUCGUCGGACUCCGCGACUCCGCUCCGCGAGGAUCGGCCGGGCUCGUCGCAUCCUGCCUCUCGGUGCCAUGGCGGGGCGUGGUGGAGCGCCCCCGCCCGGAAAGAAACCGGUUGCGCCUGGCGGGGUGAGCCACGCCAGUGGAGCACCGCCGCCGGGUGCGGGCAGCGGCCAGGGCGUUGCGCCUGUGCCGGUGACUGGUGCUGGGUGCGGUAGUGUGUCACGCUUGAGUUCUGCAGCGGGCCGUGGAGCUGGUGUCCCCGGUGGGGCGCCCAAUGCUGCGGUGGGUCGUGGCGCUGGCGGGCUGCCCACUGCUCGGCCACCGGCGCCGGGUCCGGUGGUCGUGCCUUCGACUGGGCGAGGACGGCCGGUCCUCGGUCCUCGUCCGGUGGCACCCGGCAUAGCUGGGGUGGCCGCUGCGGGCCGGUGUGCUACGCCGCCCAGGCCACCUACGACGGGAAGUCAGGGGGUGACGAUGGGCCCGCAGCCUCGGCCGGCCCCGCCACCUCAUUUCGUUGCCCGGCCGUCAUAGAAUCAGGCUGCGUCGGUGCUGUCGCAGGCACCGCCGCUGCAAAACAGCGCCGUUGGUGGUGCGUCGGCUGCGCCUCGGGGUCAAUGGGGGGGGGAUGAUGGUUACAAUGCCUAUUGAGUUGGUCAGCACCGGGUUCUUCGUCCACGGGUGGAGGUUGUGGAUAUGUUUGGUAGAGCGACGGUUUGGCAGAGAGGCCGUUUUUGGGUCCUACCGGUGGUUUUGUCGAGGGGGCAUCUGGCCCGGGAUAUCAGCAGUGGGGUGGUUUCCGCGGUCAUCGUGGUGGUCGAGGCGGUCGAGGUGGCUGGUACCGCCCACGACAACCUCCUCCGACCAUUGUUGUCAAGCAGACGACCGCUGGCAGGGCUGCCAAGGAGCCGGUGUUGACCGGUCAGGCUAUGGAGGUAGUGACGGCUCUCGCUAAUGUUCAGGUUCCUGAGAAUGAGACUAUGGGUGAUGUGUCCGUGGAAGUGCCGGAUAGGGCUGAUUCAGAUAGGGCGUCCAAGUGGGCGCGCAAGAAGGAGAAAAUGAUAUGCUAUCAUUGUGGCGACAAGGGUCAUUUUAUUGCUGAGUGUGUGGCUGUGUUAUGUGAUACUUGUGGUAAGCCGACACAUGAUUCGGGGGAAUGCCCGCUUCUACGAGAUCAGGCACCGUCUCUUAUGAUGUAUGGAGUAUAUUGUGCUGAACUCACGUUUUUUGAGUCUCCUAAUGAGAGGGAGGUUCCCGAUGAGGCCCAGAGCAUGACUACUGGGAUUGUCAAGGUGACCAGAGGAGAGGUCUCUGAGACCCAGAUCGUGCAGAGGCUCCGGGAGUUAGCCCAUGGGGACUUCUAGUGGGAGCUCGUCAGUCUUGCGGAUAAGAUGUUCAGGGUUGAGUUCCCUUCGGUGGAGGAUUUGCAGAGGCUUUUGAGUUUUGGGAUGUGCAAGGUGCCGGGUACAGAUUGCAUCCUCGAGUUCCAUGAGUGGAAGCAGGUGGAGCCUGAGGCCAAGCCACUUACUCAGGCAUGGUUGCGUUUCUCUGGGGGGCCCUCGAAGCCGAUGCAGGAUGCUAGGGUCGUGGCUAGCUUGGGGAUUAUGGUGGGGAAGCCUGAGGGAGUGGAUAUGGCUUUUACCAGAGCUCACGGGAUAGCUCGUUUACUGGUUAGUAUUUUGGACAUUGAGUAUGUGCCUGAGGUCGUCAAGUGGACUUAUCGAGGCAAGAUUUAUAACCUUCUGAUUGAGUUUGAGGAUGAGAGCCUGUUGGCCGAGGUGGCUAACGGGACUGACGUGGAUAUGCACGAGGGAGAUGACAACGCGGGAGCAAAGGAGACUCCGGUCGAUGAUUCUGGACGACAGUUGUCCAAGGGACCGGGGUCUGUGUCCAUGACGACCGAGGAUGGGGCGGUUCCACCCUCCUCGAUGCCUACGACGACUCUGAGAUGUGGGUCCUUCGAGCCUGCUUCUGCACCCCCAGGCUAUGGAGUGAUCGAGUGGAGUCGGACGAGGCUUUUGAGCUCGCGUUACCUGCUUUGGAUUUUGAGGAUGCUGUGAGCCCCGCUCCUGGGGCUACGACGGUCUCGGUCAGGGGAGAGGAGGAGGUGAGUAGGUAGGAGGCCACUCCCUCACGUGCUCAGCACGUUGUCUCUCCUUAGGACGUGGUUCCGGUGUUGGAGGUUUUUUCUUCGGGCGGGGUCCCAGGGCAGGCGGCCUCGGCUCUCUCUUCUCCUGUCGAGGUACAUGUGUUGCAGGGGGCGGUACCGCCUUCUGUAGGGGACUCGGGGCAGGUGGCACCCUGUCCUUCUCUCCUUCAGUGGUGGACGAGGCCUUGGCGGUGGCGGUCUUACCUUUGGGAGGGGGUCCGGGGCAGGUGGCCUCGGAUCACCCUUCUCCCGUUGCAUCGUUCGCUCUGCUGGUAGCGGCAUCGCUGUCGAGAGGGGGCUCGGGGCAGGUGGCCUCGGAGCCCUAUUCUCCUGGGGUGCCUAUGGUGGCCGCCCCUCCGGUGCUAGGUGGGAAGUUCGAGCAGGUGGCCCAUGCACACCCUUCCCCCGGGGCGCUGCCGUCUCCGCCCUGUGGGGCACGACCGGCGUCUCCAGCGCUGGCAACUACCUCACCGCGUCCUGGCGUUACCGCUGGGGCGUCCGUGGAGGCUGACCAGCUUCGCGUUUGGGGUGAGGCAGGAGGCCCCACCUCGAGCAGGAUCUCUCGGGAGGAGGUUAUAGCGUUUGGAGGAAUUCCGGGUCCGAUUUCUGAGGGACGAUGGUUGAGCUACCGUCUCCAGAAUCAUCCGGAGGUGGACGACAUUCAGCAGCGGUGCGCCAUGAGGGCGGCCAAGCUUCGUGACGUUGAGGUCACUACUCAUAUGUAGGUCAAUACCUCUAAUUCCAUUUUGCAUUUUUCUAAUGAUGAGACUAUUGAUAAUGCAAAUCAAUUAGGAGUUUCACUAGGUAGUAAUGUUAGUGAAAUUUUGAAUUCUGUUAAUGAUCUCCUGGAUUUAGAGGCUGAGCGGGCUUUAGAGAUGAUUUGGAACUUAGCAGCGGUUAAGCCCAUGAGUGAUUCUGAGUUUGAUUCUUUGGGGGUCAGGGUGCUCGAUAAUUUUUGUGCGGAUCUUAUUCCUCCCAUGCCCGAGUCAGAGGAGGAGGAUGAUACAUCUGAGAAUGUUAUGGUUAGACCUUCUGAGACUGGUUGUGAGGACCGGUUGCAGAGUUAGAUUAUUACUAAACGCAAGUGGAAGCGGAAGGUUUACCCGGUGUCCGCAGUGCGUAGGAGUGCUAGGAUCCAUACGGCUAAAAAAUUCCAUGAUGAAUUAUGAAAGGAAUCUUUUGGAAUAGCAGAGGUCUAAAAGACUUGGCUAAAAGAAGGUUUCUUGCAGAGGCGUCUGUCGAGCUUAGAUUAGAUUUUAUCGCUUUAUCAGAAACUGGUAGAGAUAAUUUUGCGCCACAAUUUCUAAAUACUUUAUCGGGAGGUAUUGAUUUUGACUGGCACUGUCUGCCACCGAGAGGGAGAUCGGGCGGGAUCUUACUCGGAGUUUGAUGCGAUUCGCUCGAGGUUUGAAGUGUGGUAAUGGGAGAUUUUGCAGUCAAGUUUCAGGUGCGGUCGAAGGCCGAUGGGUUCAAUUGGGCUUUGGUGGCGGUAUAUGGUGCCGCACAGCCCGAACUCCAGCCCAAGUUCUUGGCUGAUCUGGUUAGGAUUUGCGGCUCUGAGCAGCUUCCUAUCCUGGUGGGGGUGAUUUCAAUAUCAUUAGAAGGCGUGAGGAGAAGAACAAUGAUAACUUUGAUGGCAGAUGGUCGUUCAUGUUUAAUAUUAUCAUUGAAAGCUUGGAUCUGAGAGAGUUUGAGCUCUCGGAAGAAAAUUCACUUGGGCUAACGCGAUGCCAAAUCCGACGUUUGAAAAGUUGGAUCGAGUGUUGGCAAGCGUCGAAUGGGAACAAAAGUUUCCCUUUGUAACAGUUCAGGCUCUUUCCCGUGGAAUUUCUGACCACACGUCAUUAUUUAUAGACUCUGGUGAGGCCACCCACUUGGGAAACAAAAAUUCGUUCUCUUUUGAGCUUGCUUGGUUUGAACGAGAUGGCUUCUUUGAUCUUGUAGCCAGAGAGUGGGCUAAGGAUACAGGAGGUAAGACUGCGCUUGAGCGCUGGCAGAAUAAGAUCAGGCAUUUGAGAAGUUUCCUGCAUGAGUGGGCUAAGCAUCUUAGCGGGAUUUAUAAGGUCGAAAAGGAACGGCUCCUUACCCUUAUUCAGUCCUUAGAUGUAAAAGCAGAAACCACAGUUCUGCCAGCCUCUGAGCUUCAUGCCAAGCUUGACGCGGAGAUGAGGCUGAAAGAGCUUCUUCGAGAGGAGGAAUUGAAGUGGGCGUUGCGGGCCAAGGUCCGACGAGUAGUCCAGGGGGCCGCAAACACUCAAUUCUUUCACAUGAUCGCUAAUGGUAAACACAGAAAGAAGAGGAUAUUUCAGCUUGAACAAGAUGAAGGAAUGAUUUUAGGACAGGAAAACCUAAAAUUAUACAUUACCGAGUAUUAUAAGCAGCUGUUUGGACCCCCAGAGGAUAACUGUGUGUCUCUGGAUGAGUCCAGGAUUGAGGAUGUUCCUCCACUAACAGCAGUGGAGAAUGAUAUUUUGGCGGCUCCUUUUACUGAGAAAGAAGUGUUUGAGGCCAUUUCGCAAAUGAAAAAUAAUAAGGCUCCCGGCCCGGUUGGAUUUCCGGCUAAAUUUUAUAAGAAGUGCUGGCAUAUUAUUAAGGGGGAUCUGUUGCCUUUGUUCAAUGAUCUCUUCUCUGGGCAGCUUCAGCUUUUUCAACUGAAUUUUGGAACGAUAACCCUUCUUCCUAAGAAAACAGAGGCUGUGAGAAUUGAGCAAUUCAGGCCCAUCUAUCUUCUUAAUGUUAGUUUCAAAAAUUUUACCAAGGUCGGGACUAAUAGGCUCACACAGAUCGCGCAUGCUGUGGUGCAGCCUACCUAAACUGCUUUCAUGCCGGACAGGAACAUCCUUGAAGGGGUUGGGGUCCUUCAUGAAACGCUCCAUGAGAUUCACACGAAAAAGCUAGAUGGAGUUGUUUUCAAGGUGGAUUUUGAGAAAGCGUACGACAAAGUCAAAUGGCCUUUCCUUCAAUAGGCCUUACGCAUGAAGGGUUUUGAUGAAGCUUGGCAACGCCAGGUAGAAUUUUUCACGCAAAAAGGGAGUGUUGGAAUUAAAGUGAAUGACAACAUAGGUCAUUAUUUCCAGACACACAAGGGCCUGAGACAAGGUGAUCUAAUAUCUCCUAUUCUGUUCAACAUUGUGGUUGACAUGUUGGCAAUUUUGAUAGGAAGGGCAAAGGAGGCCGGUCAAGUGGGUGGCUUGGUGCCUCAUCUAGUUGAUGGUGGUGUGUCCAUCCUGCAGUACGCUGAUGAUACAAUCAUCUUUAUGGAGCACGACUUGGCAAAAGCGAGAAAUAUGAAGAUGAUGUUAUGCUUAUUUGAACAAUUGAUCGGAUUGAAGAUCAAUUUUCAUAAAAGCGAGUUUUUCUUCUUUGGUAGAGCCAAUGAGGAACAAGAGGCUUAUAGGCAAUUGUUUGGAUGCGAAUUGGGGGCGUUACCUUUCACGUACUUAGGUAUACCCAUUCACCAUCGUAAGCUGACAAACAGAGAAUGGAAGAGCAUCGAAGACAGGUUUGAGAAGAAACUGAGCUGCUGGAAGGGCAAACUCAUGUCAUAUGGAGGCCGACUGACCCUUAUUAAUUCAGUGCUCACGAGUAUGCCUAUGUUUCUCUUAUCUUUCUUCGAAGUCCCAGUUGGUGUUAGGAAAAGGUUGGACUUCUAUCGAUCCCAGUUCUUCUGGCAGAGUGAUGAACUAAAAAGAAAAUACCGACUCGCCAAAUGGGAUAUCAUCCGUCGACCAAAGGACCAGGGGGGCCUUGGUAUUGAGAAUCUUGAAGUCAAAAACAGAUGUCUUCUCAAUAAGUGGUUGUAUAAACUUUCAGUUGAAACUGAGGCCACGUGGGCGCAGAUUCUACGUAGUAAGUAUCUGCAGUCCAAGACGUUGUCCCAGGCGACAGUGAGACCGACAGACUCGCCGUUUUGGAAGGGGCUUAUGAGAGUCAAAACUGCCUUCUUUAAUAGAACAAAGUUUAUAGUCGGUAAUGGUAACACCACUCGCUUUUGGGAGGAUACUUGGCUUGGUGAAACACCGUUGGCGCUUCAGUAUCCGUCCCUGUAUCGUAUUGUUCAACGACAUGAUGCUCUUGUUGCCACGAUUAUGCAGUCCAUUCCCCUUAAUAUUCAGUUUAGGAAGGCGCUUGUGGGUGACCGGUGGGAAGCUUGGCUUCAUUUGGUGAGUAGACUGAUGGAGGUUCAGUUAUCUCAUCAGCUCUAGUGUUAUCCCUAGUUCCAAAGAGGUUUGGAAAGUCAAAGUUCCUUUGAAAAUUAAAGUGUUUAUGUGGUUUGUACAUAAACAAGUCAUUUAACAAAGGAUAAUUUGGUUAAGCGCAACUGGACAUGAUCUACUAGGUGUAGUUUUUGUGAUCGGGACGAAACCAUCAAGCACCUCUUCUUUGACUGCCCUUUGGCUAAGGUUUUGUGGCACACGGUGCAUAUUGGCUUUAAUAUUACUCCUCCGAAUUCGGUCAGUACGUUAUUUGGAACGUGGCUUGUUGGGAUAGAGUCCGAAACAGCUAGACACAUUCGUGUAGGAGUAUGUGCUUUGUUGUGGGCAAUUUGGAAUUGCAGAAAUGAUUUGGCUUUUAACAGAACAACAAAUAUUCAUUUUUUGCAGGUUUUAUUCUGAGCUAUUGCGCUGAUCCGUAUGUGGUCAUUACUCACUCCGACGGAGGCCAGAGAGCGUUUGGUUAUUGGAUCUGUCCGGUGGGAGAUGGUAGCGCGGGAUAUCUUCAACCAGUUUGGAUGGCGGUCAUGUAAUAGGAUAGGCAAUUAGUUUACCUAUCUUUGUUAUGCCAGCCGGUUGUGGCUUUUGGACCUUUUGUUUUUGGCGCCGUGGCUCUUUAUGAGCUCGCCGUUAUUUUGUUUUCAGACUUUACGACCUUGUUGAACACCUUUAUUUAUCUAUAAAUGUGGCCAUAUGCAUCGUUCUGAUGCAGAGGCCGGGGAGUCUCCUUUU